UGGUCAACAAUGGAGCUGCUGCAGGACAUGAGUGGAAUCAUGAAAUGGAGUGAGAUCUGGAGGCUGAAAAAGCCAAAAACGGUUUCCAAGAAACUGAAGACUGUAUUCCAUGCUCCAGACCUGAGUAGGAUGCUGCAAAUGUUUAGAGAACUGACAGCUGUCCGGUGCUACUGGGGUAAGAAAAAUGGAUAUCACACUGAAUUCAGUCAACCUAAAUUUGAAUCUUGUCCUUUCAGAAGAUCAGAGACAAGUGAUAUCUGUGCCAAUUUGGCCUUUUCAGUGUUAUAAUUAUGGUGUCUUGGGAUCCCAAUAUUUCUCCUCUGGGAAACAUUACUGGGAAGUGGACGUGUCCAAGAAAACUGCCUGGAUCCUGGGGGUAUACUGUAGAACAUAUUCCCGCAAUAUGAAGUAUGUUGUUAGAAGAUGUGCAAAUCAUCAAAAUCUUUCCUCCAAAUACAGACCUCUAUUUGGCUACUGGGUUAUAGGGUUACAGAAUAAAUGUAAGUAUAGUGCCUUUGAGGAGUCUUUGUCCUCUGAUCCCGAGGUUUUGACUCUCUCCAUGGCUGUGCCUCCCUGCCGUGUUGGGGUUUUCCUUGACUAUGAAGCAGGCAUUGUCUCAUUUUUCAAUGUCACAAGCCAUGGCUCCCUCAUUUACAAGUUCUCUAAAUGUUGCUUUUCUCAGCCUGUUUAUCCAUAUUUCAAUCCUUGGAACUGUCCAGCUCCCAUGACUCUAUGCCCACCAAGCUCUUGAAUUUUCUCAUUUCUUCACCUACAACCCUUUGUCUUGACUUAUCUCCUGCAACUGACUCAUCUGCAACAUUCAGACCAUUGCUUCCUUGUGGUUUCCCUUC
rnacentral:sRNA from 1 species